GGUUACUGCUAUCGAGGUUCGACUAAGCCAUGCGAGUCGAAUGUAGCAAUACAUGGCGUACUGCUCAGUAACACGUGGACAACCUACCCUUAGGCUGGGAUAACCCCGGGAAACUGGGAAUAAUACCGGAUAUCUCGCGAAUGCUGGAAUGCGUCGCGAUAGAAAGCUCCGGCGCCUAAGGAUGGGUCUGCGGCCUAUCAGGUAGUAGUGGGUGUAACGUACCUACUAGCCUACGACGGGUACGGGUUGUGAGAGCAAGAGCCCGGAGAUGGAUUCUGAGACACGAAUCCAGGCCCUACGGGGUGCAGCAGGCGCGAAAACUUUACAAUGCUGGAAACAGCGAUAAGGGGACCUCGAGUGCCAGGAUACAAUCCUGGCUGUCGUAAUGCCUAAAAAGCAUUGCAUACAAGGGCCGGGCAAGACCGGUGCCAGCCGCCGCGGUAACACCGGCGGCUCGAGUGGUAACCGCUAUUAUUGGGUCUAAAGGGUCUGUAGCCGGCUGACUAAGUCUCUUGGGGAAUCUGACAGCUUAACUGUCAGGCUUUCAGGAGAUACUGAUCGGCUCGAGACCGGGAGAGGUGAGAGGUACCUCAGGGGUAGGGGUGAAAUCUUGUAAUCCUUGAGGGACCACCAGUGGCGAAGGCGUCUCACCAGAACGGAUCUGACGGCAAGGGACGAAAGCUAGGGGCACGAACCGGAUUAGAUACCCGGGUAGUCCUAGCCGUAAACGAUACUCGCUAGGUGUCGGCCACGGUGCGACCGUGGUCGGUGCCGUAGGGAAGCCGUGAAGCGAGCCACCUGGGAAGUACGGCCGCAAGGCUGAAACUUAA
rnacentral:rRNA from 1 species